rnacentral:rRNA from 1 species
GUUGCCAUCGGGCGAGCCGGGCACUCUGGAGGGACUGCCGGUGACAAGACCGGAGGAAGGUGGGGAGUGACGUCAAGUCAUCAUGGCCCUUAUGUCCAGGGCGACACACGUGCUACAAUGGCCGGCACAGCGGGAAGCGGAGGGGCGACCCUGAGCGGAUCCCUUGAAAGCCGGUCCCAGUUCGGAUUGCAGUCUGCAACUCGACUGCAUGAAGUUGGAAUCGCUAGUAAUCGCGGAUCAGCCAAGCCGCGGUGAAUACGUUCCCGGGCCUU